GUGCUCGCUUUGGCAGCUCAUAUACCAAAACCAGAACGAUACAGAGGAGAUUAGCUUGGCCCCUGCCCAGACUAUACUGACAAACGGUAGCUACAGCUACACUUU
ensembl:snRNA U6 U6 spliceosomal RNA